UUGUCUCAAAGAUUAAGCCAUGCAUGUNUAAGUAUAAGCAAUCUAUACAGUGAAACUGCGAAUGGCUCAUUAAAUCAGUUAUCGUUUAUUUGAUAGUACCUUACUACUUGGAUAACCGUGGUAAUUCUAGAGCUAAUACAUGCUAAAAACCUCGACUUCGGAAGGGGUGUAUUUAUUAGAUAAAAAACCAAUGCCCUUCGGGGCUCCUUGGUGAUUCAUGAUAACUUAACGAAUCGCAUGGCCUUGUGCCGGCGAUGGUUCAUUCAAAUUUCUGCCCUAUCAACUUUCGAUGGUAGGAUAGUGGCCUACCAUGGUUUCAACGGGUAACGGGGAAUUAGGGUUCUAUUCCGGAGAGGGAGCCUGAGAAACGGCUACCAUANCCAAGGAAGGCAGCAGGCGCGCAANUUACCCAAUNCCGACACGGGGAGGUAGUGACAAUAAAUACUGAUACAGGGCUCUUUUGGGUCUUGUAAUUGGAAUGAGUACAAUUUAAAUCCCUUAACGAGGAACAAUUGGAGGGCAAGUCUGGUGCCAGCAGCCGCGGUAAUUCCAGCUCCAAUAGCGUAUAUUAAAGUUGUUGCAGUUAAAAAGCUCGUAGUUGAACCUUGGGCCUGGUUGGUCGGUCCGCCUCGCGGCGUGCACUGAUCCGACCGGGCCUUUCCUUCUGGGGAACCGCAUGUCCUUCAUUGGGCGUGUCGGGGAUCCAGGACUUUUACUUUGAAAAAAUUAGAGUGUUCAAAGCAGGCCUAUGCUCGAAUACAUUAGCAUGGAAUAAUAGNAUAGGACGUGUGGUNNNNNNNNNUUGGUUUCUAGGACCGCCGUAAUGAUUAAUAGGGAUAGUCGGGGGCAUCAGUAUUCCGUUGUCAGAGGUGAAAUUCUUGGAUUUACGGAAGACUAACUACUGCGAAAGCAUUUGCCAAGGAUGUUUUCAUUAAUCAGUGAACGAAAGUUAGGGGAUCGAAGACGAUCAGAUACCGUCGUAGUCUUAACCAUAAACUAUGCCGACUAGGGAUCGGGCGAUGUUAUCUUUUUGACUCGCUCGGCACCUUACGAGAAAUCAAAGU
rnacentral:rRNA from 1 species